GAGUUCCUUAUUCAGCUUCAUGCUUGCUUCUGUGCCCUUGGGCCACUUCUUACCAUAAUCCAUCAGCUUUAGGAGAUAAGAGGAAGGGGAAGUUGCCUUAGGGCUAUAUUUUGUCUCAGAAGUUUGUCAAAGGCUGUAUCCUUACAAGAGUAACUCUAGCCUUCUCAUGCUGAUGGGUAUAGGUCCAUUUAACAACAGAAACGUUUCUCAACUGUGCAUCUGAGAAAAUGGACAAUGGAUAUGACUGAGAUGAUGAGGAAACUGCAGCUCCGCAAGAUUAUCAAGAAUGUAUAAGAUCAUACAGGUAGAGGUCCCUCCACCUCGAGAGACCCUUCUCCACUGAGCUCUGAAUAAACUGGACGCGCCCUGUAAGUCUCAGCAGAUCUCCUUGGCUCUCUGCAUCUCGCUGCCCACUUGUGAAGCACAUAUGCAGAUAACGGCUGGGAAGAAAGUGAAGGCAAACACGGAAAGUGAACCAGGCCACGACCAGAAUCUGGUAGAGAGCAUUCCUGCUGGCAUGCAGGUACCAACCUGUGACAGACUCCUUUUUUUUUGGCUGCAUGGUCUGGACAGAUAGCUGUUAAAAGGUUACCAUUACAAAGCUGGCCGCUGGAGCAGGGCAGCAUUCCACGGGCAUCUGCAGACCUAACUCCCCCUCACCUUGGCUCUUUUUAUCCUGUUGUCUUUUCCUCAAAGUGAAGCUUACUGACUUCUCACAUAGCCUUUGCAGGAAUCACAUCUUUGCAUCUUUUCACCAGUUCUGUGCAUAAAGCAGAAUCUGGCAUAGACACUCCCUUGAAUACAAUGGCGAUGUUGGAAGCAUCCCUCUCCCCAGCCAACUUUGUAUUAUCCUAUCAUAUGGUUGUAGAACCAGAGUCUAAAUACCAACAUUAGGACACUGUCGUUUUCUCAAAUAGUCUGAAAAACGCCAAACAAAAUUAAACCAAAACAGACAUAAAGCCAACUAAAAUCAUAAUGUAAUUUGUAGCAUAGAUUACUUUAGACUGUUUACAUGCCAUUUCAAGAAAAAGGGAUGAUCAAAAGCAGUCCCCAGACAUGAAAAAGGUCUUACAACACACAAUGGAUGUGCAGCGCUCUGUUCCCAGUUGCUCCUCACAUUCCUAGCGGUCCCUCACAAACCCUCUCCACACAGCCCCAUCCCAAGGUGGUCAGCACGGAACGCAUUUCAGGUUCCAAGCAUGUAACAUUUCUGCUUUCAAGCACACGUCAAUCACUGAGCAGCCACUGGAAAAAAAGCAGGCAGAGAGAAAGCAGCGCAAGCCCGAGCAUCUGCAGAGAGCUUGUGUACCUAGGUCGAGGAUCCAGUACUUGCAGGUGCCCGGCUGCCCGCCGCUGCAGUAGGCUGAGCUGACAGAGGACAGCGAGUCCAGCGUGUCCACUGGCUUCAAUCCGUUGGGCAUGGUGAUGGGAGCCGACUGGAGGCUAUAGGAACCCCUGCCCUACCUCUCCCUUCACGACAGCUAGAGCCACUGCUUGGCAGCAAAAGCAGAGACCAGCUAAAGAGACACGCACAGACUGGGACGCGACAGGGACAUGCACACAGACUGGCAGUGUGCAGCUCGGCCGGCGCCAGUCCACGGCCCAGCGCACGCCUCUCCCUCGCUGGCGUCUGAGCGCGCGCUGCAGUUGGGUUUCACAAUGGGAAUACCCAGACGCAGUGGAUUUCAUUCUACCACACUGACUCUAAUUGGAGCUCAAGGAAAUUCUUCAGGCACCCUGGAAACCAGAUGUCUCUCCUCGCCGGCACUAGCCAGAGCUGCAAUUUCCUUUCUCAGUGAAAUGUGAAGUGACAGAUGCCCUGCCCACGAAGGCCGUUCUGAAUGGCUUCCCUGACUUGGGCUUUGUGUACAUCUGGAGGGAGGUCGGCCCUGGGACGCACACAACAAACAGCACCUCCUGAUGUGACUUGAUAAAGAAAUAGAAAUGUAAUUCGGUCUAAUAGCCAACUGGUUACAUCACUGUGCUGUAAUGCCACUCCUCGCUUAUUAAAAACAUAUCUUCAUUCUUCCUCACAGGAAGCAGCCACAGAACUGAAAAUGUAAAUUCUUGCAUGUGAACUGUAAAGGAGUUUCAAGAAACACGCAUCUUAGGAGUUCGUUUUGUCUUCCUUGGAAACUGGAUCUUUUCCUUAGCUGACAAACAUUCUUACUCUCUCUUUGAAAGUUUCCAUAUGUUCUCUUCCUUGCCCCACACCACACAAUGGCUUCAGAGGGCCAUGCCCUCUGCGUGGGAACCACAGAGCCUGACUUCCAGCUUCUAUGGAAGUGUGCGCUCCCCUGUGCCUCAGUGUCCUCCAAACUAGACCUGGACGCCCUUGCCUUGCUCUGACAGAGUCACCUGGAACAUUCUGCAUGUAUCUCAACCUGUAAUAUCGCGCUGAGCUGUUUAUAAUUUCUUUGAGGAAGAGUUGUUUGUGGAACCUCAAAAAAAAGUACUAUUUUGACUUCUUUAUAUUAAUAAUUCUUCUCAUGUCUGCUUUACCUAACUUGACAGUACAAUUUUAUUUGUGUUGUUUUAUAUAACUUUGAAAAAAAAGUUAAAUUUUGGUUUUCUCCCCGUCCCCUCAAUUUGCUGCAAAAUAUUUAAAAUUCUCAAAGGAAAAAGAAUGUGAAAACAGC